rnacentral:rRNA from 1 species
CCCUUAGAGUUUGAUCCUGGCUCAGGAUGAACGCUAGCUACAGGCUUAACACAUGCAAGUCGAGGGGAAACGACAUCGAAAGCUUGCUUUUGAUGGGCGUCGACCGGCGCACGGGUGAGUAACGCGUAUCCAAUCUGCCCAUCACUUGGGGAUAACCUUGCGAAAGUAAGACUAAUACCCAAUGAUAUCUCUAGAAGACAUCUGAAAGGGAUUAAAGAUUCAUCGGUGAUGGAUGGGGAUGCGUCUGAUUAGCUUGUUGGCGGGGUAACGGCCCACCAAGGCGACGAUCAGUAGGGGUUCUGAGAGGAAGGUCCCCCACAUUGGAACUGAGACACGGUCCAAACUCCUACGGGAGGCAGCAGUGAGGAAUAUUGGUCAAUGGGCGAGAGCCUGAACCAGCCAAGUAGCGUGCAGGAAGACGGCCCUAUGGGUUUAAACUGCUUUUAUAAGGGAAUAAAGGAGCCUCGU